CAGCAAGAAUAAUUUCAUGGAGGGAGUUCAAUCUUAUCAGCAAUCUCUUGUUGAUGACUUACAACAUCACCAUGCAGUGUUUGGAGUUGUUCUUGACCUGCUGAGAGUGUUGUCGUCGCAUACCCACAGUGGAAGAUACAGCCUUCAAACGUUGUUGUUGUGUGCCCAGGCUUUACGGAAAUGAACAUAAGUGAUCGCUCGACGACUACUUGCCAGCUACACUACACGGAUGUGCGCUCCGUCCUCUCGACGACUGUCAGUGCCGGCGAAGAACUUUCGAGCUUUUACGAGAAGAACAUAAGUGUUUCAAACGACUCAAUGAAUAGCGCAGCAAAAGUUUACUCAGCCUGGUCGACCGUGGUCACUGCUACUCGUUCACGAGUGAUUGCAGUUUUGAAGUACUCCGAUGUAGUUGUCAGUUGAGAGCUUUACUUUGACCGUGGACUUCUUACCGUCUACGUUUUUACGCUGGUCGCGACACCUCAUGAUGCGGAACCUAACCACAGACACAGAGUUAAUAUUGCAGUGACUUACACAAUUUGCUUAACUGCUGGUGUAAUUCAUUGUUAUUUAGAUAAUCAUUUAUUAACAGUGCUUUCAUUAUUCUGUUUCGACGAGAAUACUGACCCGACAGAAACAUUUUGCAAAGGUAUUGCUGGACAAAACACCACAAGAUGUCGCUACCGCCCUGCACCACUCAUAUACCAAACAGGGGGGUACAAGUUGGAAUAGGAUGGACAUCAUUCGAGGUGAGGGAAGCUAGCAGCAAGAUAGAGGUGCGGUUUCAGCUACUUGUACAUGAGGAUUGUCGAUGAAAAAUGGGGGAAGCAAACCAGAAAAUUUUCGAGCAAAUAUUUAGACGACAGGAGACCAAGCGAAAAAGAAUCACCGGUUAACAAAAAGGUUAAAGAAAUGGUGAGAGGCCUGUGGAAAAUAGCAAUGCUCAUAAAGUCAGCACUGGAAACAUACAGAACUUUCAAGCAAGAGAUUGCCAAUGAAAAGGUCUACACUAACUCUCGGGGGUAGCAUUCUGUUG
rnacentral:lncRNA from 1 species